rnacentral:rRNA from 1 species
AUCGAACGCUGGCGGCAGGCCUAACACAUGCAAGUCGAACGAGUGGCGGACGGGUGAGUAAUGUCUGGGAAACUGCCUGAUGGAGGGGGAUAACUACUGGAAACGGUAGCUAAUACCGCAUACCAUCAGAUGUGCCCAGAUGGGAUGAGCGAGUUGGUGGGGUAACGGCUCACCAAGGCGACGAUCCCUAGCUGGUCCGAGAGGUUGACCAGCCACACUGGACCUGAGACACGGUCCAGACUCCUACGGGAGGCAGCAGUGGGGAAUAUUGCACAAUGGGCGCAAGCCUGAUGCAGCCAUGCCGCGUGUAUGAAGAAGGCCUUCGGGUUUUAAAGUACUUUCAGCGGGGAGGCGUUACCCGCAUAAGAAGCACCGGCUAACUACGUGCCAGCAGCCGCGGUAAUUC